rnacentral:lncRNA from 1 species
AGGUUUAAAUGGUGAAGGUGUAUUACACAUUCAUAGAGUAAAAUUAAGAUAGCCAAAAAUAUAAUUCAGCUAAAAUGUUUUGGUGCUGGGAGCCUCUUAACAGUUCCAGGGACUGGUACGAUCUUUUAAAGGGCGAGGUAAUAUAAGAGACCAAUGAGGAUAACCGCAUAUUUAAUUGGGAUUAUAAUCCAAAAGCCGUUUAAACUCCAUGCAGCAUUUGAAGCACAGGUACAAACGCAAGUCUUUAGCAAUAACUACGGUAAAAUAGGUAUUUUCCUUAAACUUUCUUAGACGCUGUAAAUUGCCAGAGCAAGGUACAACCAUAAAAUCACAAGGUACAAAAGCAAGUCUUUAGCAACAAGAGAAGCAAUAAUAAUAAUAAUAACAACAAUAAUGCAGGUUAUUUCACUUCAACUUUCUCAUAUACUGUAAAUUGCCGGAGAAAGGUACAACCAUCAAGCACGAGGUACAAUAACAUAUAUUUUUCUAUUAUUAAUUCAAAAAAUAAUAAUAAAAAUAAUAAUAAUAAUAAAACAAUGCAGGUUAUUUCACUUAAACUUUCUCAUAUACUGUAAAUUGCUGGAGAAAGGUACAACCAUCGAGCACGAGGUACAAUAACAUAUAUUUUUCCAUUAUUAAUUCAAAAAAAAAAAUCAAUUGGGUUCCGUUACUUACAUUGAGAGGUAGAGGAGAAGAAUGAGAAAUAUGGAGAACGGAAGGGGAACUGAAAAGAGGCCUGAAAUCAGGGGAAAUUACGGAAUGGGUAAAGAGGGGUCGAAUUGAAUUUGGUGAAAUACAGAGGAGACGAUUGGGAAUAGAAAAGGAAUUGUGGGUUUGAAGCUUUGGAAUGUACUGAAGAGAGGCCAUUGAUCGGAAUCUGGAGCACAAUCUCUGCAUUUCGUAUUCUCCGUGGAGUGGGGUUACAGAGAAAGGUAUUUUCGCCCGAGGGUUUUAGAUUUUGGAGUGUUGAGCUUCGAGCAUGCUUGGAAUCCCUGCCAAAGAAGCACUCAAAUGAACAACUUUUUAGUUAGGGGAUAAAAC